AUUGAACGCUGGCGGCAGGCCUAACACAUGCAAGUCGAGCGGAUGAAGGGAGCUUGCUCCUGGAUUCAGCGGCGGACGGGUGAGUAAUGCCUAGGAAUCUGCCUGGUAGUGGGGGAUAACGUCCGGAAACGGGCGCUAAUACCGCAUACGUCCUGAGGGAGAAAGUGGGGGAUCUUCGGACCUCACGCUAUCAGAUGAGCCUAGGUCGGAUUAGCUAGUUGGUGGGGUAAAGGCCUACCAAGGCGACGAUCCGUAACUGGUCUGAGAGGAUGAUCAGUCAAACUGGACCUAAGACACGGUCCGAACUCUUAGGGAAGCAGGCGGUGGGAAUUAUUGAACAUUGGGCGAAAGCUUGUUCAGGCAAUGCGGGGGGGGGAAGGAAGGUCUUCGGUUGGUAAGCCACUUUAGGUGGGGAGAAAGGGAGUUAGGUAAAAACCUUCUUGUUUGACGGUACCCAAAAAAUAAGGAACCGGUAAAUUUGGG
rnacentral:rRNA from 1 species